rnacentral:rRNA from 1 species
CCUACGGGCGGCAGCAGUGGGGAAUAUUGGACAAUGGGGGGAACCCUGAUCCAGCCAUGCCGCGUGUGUGAAGAAGGCCCUCGGGUUGUAAAGCACUUUCAGUGAGGAAGAACGCCUGGUGGUUAAUACCCAUCAGGAAAGACAUCACUCACGGAAGAAGCACCGGCUAACUCCGUGCCAGCAGCCGCGGUAAUACGGAGGGUGCGAGCGUUAAUCGGAAUUACUGGGUGUAAAGCGCGCGUAGGUGGCUUGAUAAGCCGGUUGUGAAAGCCCCGGGCUCAACCUGGGAACGGCAUCCGGAACUGUCAAGCUAGAGUGCAGGAGAGGAAGGUAGAAUUCCCGGUGUAGCGGUGAAAUGCGUAGAGAUCGGGAGGAAUACCAGUGGCGAAGGCGGCCUUCUGGACUGACACUGACACUGAGGUGCGAAAGCGUGGGUAGCAAACAGGAUUAGAUACCCUUGUAGUC